CUUUAAUUAUCUCCCAUUACAUAGCUUCCUUUAGCACUGUCCCUAUUCCUAUGGCCCCUCUUUUAUCAAAGUCCUGUUUUGGUCUCCAGUUCUCAUUUAUCCCUCUUGUUCUGGGGUACAUCCCACCUCUGGUUUCUCAAUUUACCAUUUAUAUCUUUACCAGACUCGACCUUGAAUGUUCUUACGGCUAAAAACAGAGCAGGCCUGGUCUGUGAAAGGAUGUUUGAUCCACCAAUUGUCAGCUCUAGUUAGU